AUCUAUAAUAUAAGAAAGUUCUAUCUUUUUGAACUUUCUAUGUGGUGCUGCCAAGUGGCUUAGUCUUAGAGCAGAAUUUGUUUCUUCUUGAUGCGCCAUGUGUAAUUUUGAUGAUUAAUGAAGCUUCAGCAUCGGUUAUGGUUAUGUAAUGAAGAGUGGAAUGAAGAGUUUGUAACUCCUACAUGGUUUUGUUAUUUAUAGUAUUGGUUGGCUACACUUUUCUGCAGUAUCAUACCAGUGUUCAAUAUGGCAAGACCAUUAGCAAAAAUAUGUGACAUCAAUGACAGCAAAGAACUUAUGGAAAGUUGUUUCGAACAAGAGGGAGCAUUUUGAGAUGAUUUUUGUUGAUGUAUCGGGUGGUGACAUACAUGUUGUUGCUAUUUAUAACAUGUUUAACGUAUUCUUCUUUCAUUUCCCAACCCUCAAACUUCCCUGGAUGUGCCAACUGCUACGAAAUUAUGGCCAGACCGGUGGCGAAACUCUACGACAUCAACGAUCCCAAAGAGCUGUGGAAGGUUUCUGUUUGAGUGCAUCA